rnacentral:rRNA from 1 species
UUAGUAGCGGAGGAAAGAAACUAACAAGGAUUCCCUUAGUAGCGGCGAGCGAACAGGGAUGAGCCCAGCACUGAAUCCCGACGUCGGAGACGGCGUCAGGGAAAUGUAGUGUUUAGGAGGAUCGCAGUCCGGGAGCGGCCGUGUCGUGUUCAAGUUUGCCUUGAGUGGAGCCCUUUACUUCCCGUAGAGGGUGUAAGGCCCGUUGUGCCGACACGCCGCUUUCGGUCUUGGUCCUCCUCAGAGUCGAGUUGCUUGAUAGUGCAGCUCUAAGCAGGUGGUAAACUCCAUCUAAGGCUAAAUACAUCCACUAGUCCGAUAGAAGACAAGUACCGUGAGGGAAAGUUGAAAAGAACUCUGAAGAGAGAGUUAACAGUACGUGAAACCAUUCAGGUAGAAUCUCGACAUUCGCGACACGUUCGAACAUGGGACGCACGAAUUCAGCGUCCGACCGUCGUUCGCGGCGGCCGGCGUGCACUUUCAACAAGUCCCACCAGUAGGAGUCACAAACCGUCGGACGCGGGUCUGCGGCCCGCGCAUCAGUCCGUCGCUCGGUUUAACCGGACCGAGCGGCGGCGCGCGGCGUUCGCGCGACCGGCGACCGUCGGGGUAGUCGCGGGGCGAUCGGCCGGAUUCGUCCGGUCGGGUUCGUGCGAGGUGCUUACGCCGCCCGCGUUCCGUGUUUCCGACACGGACCGGCGCGGCGUUCGCCCUGUCGGCGCGUUCCCCUCGGGUCCGUCCCCGCGAUGGCCGGUGACGACGUCGCGAUAUGUCGAGGCCCGUCUUGAAACACGGACCAAGGAGUCCAGCAUGCGCGCGAGUCUAUGGGACCGCUAAUCCCGCCAAACAAAUAGGCGCAAUGAAAGUAAUCGAGUGCGCGACACCAUGUCGCACACCCGGGGUGAUGGGUCGUGUUCCGCUCAGGCGCGAAACUUCCUCGCAACCCCGGGGCGUUUCGAUCCCGCCCGACGGUCCGUCAAAAGACCGGCGGGCGGCCGGAACGCACCCAGAGCGCGCACGCUGGGACCCGAAAGAUGGUGAACUAUGCCCGGUCAGGCCGAAGUCAGGGGAAACCCUGAUGGAGGGCCGUAGCGAUUCUGACGUGCAAAUCGAUCGUCUGAACUGGGUAUAGGGGCGAAAGACCAAUCGAACCAUCUAGUAGCUGGUUCCAUCCGAAGUUUCCCUCAGGAUAGCUGGCGCCCGCAUGAGACGAGUCUCAUCCGGUAAAGCGAAUGAUUAGAGUGCUCGGGGUCGUAACGACCUCGUCCUAUUCUCAAACUUUAAAUGGGUGAGAUCCCCGGCUUUCGUGAACGAAGCCGGGGGCAGGAUCAGGGUGCCCAGUGGGCCACUUUUGGUAAGCAGAACUGGCGCUGUGGGAUGAACCAAACGCCCGGUUAAGGCGCCUAACCGCACAGUGGACACCAUGAAAGGCGUCGGUUGCUGAUGACAGCAGGACGGUGGCCAUGGAAGUCGGAAUCCGCUAAGGAGUGUGUAACAACUCACCUGCCGAAGCAACCGGCCCUGAAAAUGGAUGGCGCUGUAGUGUCGGGCCUAUACCGGGUCGCCGGGACCCAACGUCCGAGCGGCGUCCGUUCGCGGACGCCGCCGUUCCCCAGGUCCCGGCGAGUAGGAUGGUCGGUGCCGGAGGCUAAGAAGCGGCGGACGUAGGUCCCCGUGGAGCAAAGGCACGUGCAGAUCUUGGUGGUAGUAGCAAAUACUCUAGCGAGAACCUGGAGGGCUGAAGUGGAGAAGGGUUUCGUGUGAACAGCAGUUGUACACGAGUUAGUCGAUCCUAAGUCUAAGGAAAAGUCCGAUUUCAAUCGGGGUGUGCUAAUAUACCGACGCAUAUGUUACACUACUCAGACGAAAGGGAAUCAGGUUCAUAUUCCUGAACCCGGUAGCGGAACCGUUCUAGCCGUACCAUUUAUGGUAUAGACGGGGUAACCCAAUUCAACCCGGUGACGACGUCGGGGGGUACGGGAAGAGUUUUCUUUUCUCUAUAAGCGCUCGGGUUCCCUGGAAAGGUCUAGCACCGCGAUAGGGAAUGGAGCCGCGAAGAGCACCGCAUUUACGGCGGUGUCCGUAUUCCCCCCUCGUACCUUGAAAAACCGGGAGAAGGCAACGGGAGGUACCGCACCGGCUCGUACCCAUAUCCGCAGCAGGUCUCCUAGGUUAAGAGCCUCUAGUCGAUAGAAUAAUGUAGGUAAGGGAAGUCGGCAAAUUAGAUCCGUAACUUCGGGAUAAGGAUUGGCUCUGAAGAUUGAGAUAGUCGGGCUUGAUUGGGAAACAAUUAUAACGGUUUAUGUGCUCGUUCUGGGUAAUAUAGAAUUAAUGUGCAAAUGUUAAUUUGUUCCCCGGAUAGUAGAUUUCAUAACCAAAUUGUGGAACUUUCUUGCUGUGCUGGUAAAUGGUUUUAAUCGACUAUUUAUCGAAAACGAUUAUCAAUAAACAAUUAAUUCAGAACUGGCACGGACCUGGGGAAUCCGACUGUCUAAUUAAAACAAAGCAUUGUGAUGGCCCUAACGGGUGUUGACACAAUGUGAUUUCUGCCCAGUGCCCUGAAUGUCAAAGUGAAGAAAUUCAAGUAAGCGCGGGUAAACGGCGGGAGUAACUAUGACUCUCUUAAGGUAGCCAAAUGCCUCGUCAUCCAAUUAGUGACGCGCAUGAAUGGAUUAACGAGAUUCCUACUGUCCCUAUUUACUAUCUAGCGAAACCACAGCCAAGGGAACGGGCUUGGAAGAAUUAGCGGG